rnacentral:rRNA from 1 species
UACGUAGGGACCGAGCGUUGUCCGGAUUCAUUGGGCGUAAAGAGCUCGUAGGCGGCUGCUCAAGUCGAAUGUGAAAACUCGAGGCUCAACCUCGAGCCUGCAUUCGAUACUGGGCGGCUAGAGUCUGGUAGGGGGAUCUGGAAUUCCUGGUGUAGCGGUGGAAUGCGCAGAUAUCAGGAGGAACACCGGUGGCGAAGGCGACUUCCUGGCCUGUUCUUGACGCUGAGGCGCGAAAGCUAGGGUAGCAAACGGG